rnacentral:tRNA from 1 species
GGGGAUGUAGCUCAGUGGUAGAGCACUUGUUUAGCAUGAAAAAGACCCUGGGUUCAAUCCCCAGUAUUGCAA